AUUCAAUACACCGUUCUAAAAAAUCGAAGGACCCAAUACUUAAGUCUACAAUAAUGUACGAACGACUUUAUUACCAAUGUUAUGAGGGCAAGGUCAGACCAUCCAAAUCAAAAGGAAAAAGACAAAGAUUGUCUGUCAAGAAAAAUUGUUUAUCCAGAAUUUCUUUUGCCAAAGAUGGACCAUAUCUAAAAUGUAUCAGUAUACAUGAUAUACAUAAUCAUGAUAGAGAUCUAUCUUUGUUCAUGGCAUCUUGCCGGCAAAGACAAUUGGAUGGUGAUCAAAAGUCAAUAAUUCACCAAGCUCUUAAAUAUGAUGGAAAUCUUACAUUGAUACAUCAAGAAAUGAAAAGAAAGAAUUUAAAUAUAACCAAAAGGGAUUUAUAUAAUCUAAAACAUCAAUAUAUGAAAAAUCCAUGUAGUGUUAAUGA